UGCCAGAAAACUAUGAUGUGACAUUUCCAAGCACAUAUCUGACUGCUUUUUGUGGAAACAUGAUUAUUUCUGAGUUUUCUGGAA
rnacentral:snoRNA from 1 species